GAGUUAGCGAUCAUUAUAAAAAUACUUCUUCAUUCUGACUUAUUUAAUUUAGGCAUGACAAACCUCUUAUUAUAACCAUAAAAUCUGAGUUAC
rfam:Theobroma cacao cultivar Matina 1-6 chromosome 6, whole genome shotgun sequence.